GCUCAAUGCAAGUGGCUGCUCUGCCAACAACAGAUUCAUUUGCGAUGAUUUCAGUGGGCUAAGCCUGAGCUGACCCGAACAGGGGAAGCCGGAGGAACUGCGAAUGGGGGAAGAAAUCAUUUCCUGGUUGUCAGCCCAAGACAGGGAGGCAGGAAAACACAAAGUUGGAAGCCAUCCAGAGUGGGCUUUUGCCUGCCUGCCUGCCUGCCUGCCUGCCUGCCUGCUCCGUCCAGCUAACAUCGAGCUUCCAGUGGAGCGGAACGGUUCCCCCAAAUCACCCCGAUGUGUCACUUCUAUCAAGGGCGCAUGUGCGCUUGUGCAUGCGUACUUCUGAGAGACGGCCAGACAGACAAACACGGGAAGGCCUGCCAACAUCACGACAGAGUGUGCCAUGUGUGUUUUGAGACACAUUCUGCGUACAUGGCGGUUAGCAUGCCAACUUGCCGGGCAGCCAGGUCAACAGACUGACACGUCGCCAUGGCAACAGCACCACACUCAGCCCUUCCCGCAUGCCAAGUUGUAAAUGUGGAAUUAAAAAAGUCUUUGAAGUUUCAAAUA